UCGCCGUUCCGGCAGCGUCCCUCACCACUGCUCUGUCUGGUCGCUCGGUGCUCUCCGGUGGGAAGGAGGAGGGGUCAAGAGGGCCGGUGGUGGGCGUCGUCCUCUUUCUAACUGAGGAAGUGGAAGUUUGACGUGAACGCCAGAUCUCUGGUGUCUCCUGGAUUACGCUUGAUCUGCACCCCGUCUGAAGCAAAGCAGAUACUGAUUGCAUGGGGUGCUCCCAAGUUAAGUUUUAUUCGACGAGGUCUCGCUCGUAGCUCCCACCGCGAGUCUCCUGUCCUGAUUCUCAGUCUCCUCAGGUGACGACCCUAGAUCUGCUCUGCUCUCUCUCUCUCUCUCUCUGUAGCUUGAACAACAAUGAACAGUUUUUCUCAGUGGGCGUAGCGGCAGAUCUGACAAUCUCCUCCAAACCCGCCGAUACCUCGACGCGACGUUGAUUAUAUGGAUGGUGUCGGCGGGGCCUCACGGUUGGCCUCGCCGGUCACCUCCUCCCUGCGACUGCCCUCGCCGAGCAGACGGGUGUAGCUUGCUCUCCGUCGACAGUUGACCCUCUCCACGAACGCCCCUGUCAUCACGAGCAGCAGAGAUAAGACCCCGCCUGCAUCUAUCCAUCUCCACAGUGACUCGGAAUUGGGAAUAGAGAAGCGGUUGUCGGUCUUCCACUCGGGCGAUGCCGAGGAGAUGGUGCGUCCUUUUCCUUUUUAUCUGUCGUUUUUGUUUAUCUUGGCGUCGCUCGAUCACAGUGUUGACCCUUUUGGGAGGUUCCGUCCUCAUCAUCCUAGUGCUGCACUCCUCGUCCGUCGGCCGCGUGAUUGCCUCAGCGGCUCCCCCGGGGCCUCGCAGUGGACGCGCCAGCGGCCGCUGCCAUCCGCGCACCGCUCCGGUGGCUCGUCCCCGGGGCUUCCGCCGCCAGAACCGGGCAAAUGGGAACAAUCUUGCUCCGUUUGAGGCCUCGCGAUAUUAACUACUCGGUCGCGGUCGUCUAGCGGGGACGUUUUUUUUGUUUUUUGAAGGCCAUGUGGCUGAUGAUUUUGCCCAGUGAUAAGGGAAACGUCUCGGAGGAGGACUCCUGCGACGGAGACUUCGCAGCGGUUCCCGACGAAGCUGCACUGCCCUUCCCCCGUCGCUCGCGGCUCUUCCGCCGUGUUCUUUCUGCCCAGCUCGCCUUUCCUGCUUGUUCUCCUCGGCAAGCUUCAUCAGUUGACUUUGAAACCUGCAACUUUACAAGCGGGACCGAUGGAUCCAUCUUGACCCCGCAACAUGAAUGACGCCCUUCUCCAUCUUCUUCGUCUUCUUCCUCCCCCCCGGUGCUGCCCUCAUGGGUCGUCUCUAUGGUCAAGGGCGAAGCUACCCCCGCACCUCAUGCAGGCACCGAGAGCAGAAAUUCCUAGACUUAGCUUCUACGACUGCUAUGGCCGCAGACCACUCGUAGUUCUCCCACGUUGAGAGAGAGAGAGAGAGAGAGAGAGAAGGGAGAGAUGACGCGAACUGACCUAAACUGGGCGGUUCUGGCGCUCGACUCGGAGGGACGGGUGCCGAGCAUUCAGCACGCCCGACAGCUGUUGUCCUCUGCGAUAUCCAAUCAGUGACUCCCCGAGAUCCAAUCAGGAGGAGAUCGUCUUCUUUCUUCGGUGAUAACUACGUUUCCAUAGCCUCGAUGGAGCCGACACAGACACAAGCGGACAGAGCGAGAGCGAGAGAGAGAGAGAGAGAGAGAGAGAGAGAGAGAGAGAGAGAGAGAGAGAGG
rnacentral:lncRNA from 1 species